rnacentral:sRNA from 1 species
CCAGCCUCAACCCAGGGACACGCAGGGCUCACAGGAGACGGGGCUCAGGCUGCCGGAGCUCCAACCAAACUCUGUCCCACUUCACGCAUCGAUUGUCUUGGGCAAAGGUGUUCACCUUUCCGAGCCUCGGUUUCCUUAUCUGUAAAGCAGAGCGACACCAGCAAGCCUGUGAGCAUUGUGUAUGUAGCAGACAUGGAGGUCCUGCAGCAGGAGGUGCUCAAUAAACACAAAGCGAUCGAAGGAUGGGAUGUGCGAGAACCCCAGUCAUGAGCACCCAGGCUGCGACACAUGGCGGUGUGCAUGACCAACUGCCCAACGCUUAUUGUCAUGGUGGGCCUGCCCGCCAGGGGCAAGACCUACAUCUCCAAGAAGCUGACUCGAUACCUGAACUGGAUUGGUGUGCCCACUCGGGAGUUCAAUGUUGGCCAGUAUCGCCGGGACAUGGUCAAGACCUACAAAUCUUUCGAAUUUUUUCUCCCCGACAAUGAAGAGGGCCUGAAAAUCAGGAAAUGAGGAAACUGAGGCUCAGACAGGCCAGGAGUCUCGCACAAAAUAGCAAGUUCACAUCAGCGCCCAGACUUGAAUCUAAGCCCAUCCACCGCUAAAAAGUGUCCAUCAUUCCAAUAUUCCUCAAUAGGCAGUGUGCCCUGGCAGCCCUCCGUGACGUCCGGCGGUUCCUUAGUGAGGAGGGGGGACAUGUGGCGGUUUUUGAUGCCACAAACACCACCCGAGAACGGAGAGCGACCAUCUUUAAUUUUGGAGAACAGAAUGGCUACAAG